AGGAUAAACGCUGGCGGCGUGCCUAACACAUGCAAGUCGAACGUCCUACGCGCAAGCGUAGGGAGUGGCGGACGGGUGAGUAACACGUGGGCAAUCUACCUUUCGGUGAGGAAUACCGGCGAGAAAUCGCCGACAAGACCGCAUACGCUUCGAGAGAAGCAAAGUCGCAAGACGCCGGAGGAGGAGCCUGCGCCCGAUUAGCUAGUUGGUGAGGUAAGAGCUUACCAAGGCGACGAUCGGUAGC
rnacentral:rRNA from 1 species